rnacentral:rRNA from 1 species
AAACGAUGGAUGCCCGCCGUUGGCACUUGGUGCCUGCGGCCAAGCGAAAGCGUUAAGCAUCCCACCUGGGGAGUACGCCGGCAACGGUGAAACUCAAAGGAAUUGACGGGGGCCCGCACAAGCGGAGGAACAUGUGGUUUAAUUCGAUGAUACGCGAGGAACCUUACCCGGGCUUGAAUUGCUGAGGAAAGCUCCAGAGAUGGUGCUGCCCUUCGGGGUCUCAGUGAAGGUGCUGCAUGGCUGUCGUCAG